rnacentral:rRNA from 1 species
UACGAAGGGGGCUAGCGUUGCUCGGAAUUACUGGGCGUAAAGCGCACGUAGGCGGCUCUUUAAGUCGGGGGUGAAAUCCUGGAGCUCAACUCCAGAACUGCCUUCGAAACUGGCGAUCUUGAGUCCGGGAGAGGUGAGUGGAACUCCGAGUGUAGAGGUGAAAUUCGUAGAUAUUCGGAAGAACACCAGUGGCGAAGGCGGCUCACUGGCCCGGUACUGACGCUGAGGUGCGAAAGCGUGGGGAGCAAACAGG